CCGUGUUAUUAUUUCAGCAAUAGAUAGGCCAAGCGGCUAUUUCUAUACAGACGUGUUAAUUUGAAGAAGACGCGCCUUAUCACCACGACGACCUGAGAGGAAUAAGGACUCAAACCCAAAACCCAGCUCGCUAUAACUUACUUGUAGAAACUUAUCCGGUCGCUGCGGCCCGCUGAGUCAUUUUUACAGUUGAGCACCGCGCAAUAUUUCGGCAUGUCGUCCUAAGGCUAGCCGUCGUCGUCGUUGCGUCAAUAAAAGUGUGUGCGCGUCCACAACAAGGUGAAACUCGUGCUGUAUUGGCAAGGCGCGGCGCAUAGUUGACGCGACGAGAUCAGCUGUUUGGGCCACUGACGUCAUAUUAAAACGCCUGGGCGCCAAAAACACCUCACGGGAGCACGUGUGUCACUUCCACCUCGGCGAAGUUGCUCGUCAUUCAUUUUCAUGUAUGAUCAAAACCUGUUCUUCCAGACACGUUAACAUCAGUUUCAUGUCUGACCGCUUUUUAAAAUAAUGUUUUCUGCCUGAUAGACGACGCAGGCAGAGUUUAAACGCCAGGAAAAAUACACAUCCGGACAGGUGUUGUGCCGAAUUCUGCACCCCCGCCGUAAAAUGCACCCCCUGUCGGGAGCGCGCUUACGUCACUCGGUUGCAUCACCCGUCUCGAAAAGUAGCUAAACUCGGCUAAAAUCGCCUCUUUCGGCAUAAAAAUGUACAUAACAAGGUGAAUAAUCCAAGUUGUCUUUACUUUGGAUAUAUUAAUGGAUGGAUUAAUUGUGAUUCUUUAAUGAUUUCGCCGCCAUUGCCUUUAAUGAUUUCGUCGUCAUUCAAUCGCCUCUUUCGGCAGAAAAAUGUACAUAACAAGGUGAAUAAUCCAAGUUGUCUUUACUUUGGAUAUAUUAAUGGAUGGAUUAAUUGUGAUUCUUCAAUGAUUUCGCCGUCAUUGCCUUUAAUGAUUUCGUCGUCAUUCAGAGACAUCAAGGAGAACGAAUGUUUGCUGCUUCACUCGACGGGAUCCAAUACAUGUAUUUUAAAAAUAUGACAUUUUCUUUAACUGUAAGAAGCUCAUGGGUGGAUGGAUGAAUACAUUAAUAAAUGAAUGCAUCUGA